rnacentral:rRNA from 1 species
UAGGACCAGUAUAACCCCGGGAAACUGGGGAUAAUCCUGGAUAGAUGAAGUUGCCUGUAAUGGUUUUUCAUUUAAAUGCUCCGGCGCCUAAGGAUGGGUCUGCGGCAGAUUAGGUAGUUGGUAGGGUAAUGGCUUACCAAGCCUAUGAUCUGUACGGGUUGUGAGAGCAAGAGCCCGGAGAUGGAACCUGAGACAAGGCUCCAGGCCCUACGGGGCGCAGCAGGCGCGAAACCUCCGCAAUGCGAGCAAUCGCGACGGGGGGACCCCAAGUGCCACUCUUAACGGGGUGGCUUUUCUUGAGUGUAAAAAGCUUUUGGAAUAAGAGCUGGGCAAGACCGGUGCCAGCCGCCGCGGUAACACCGGCAGCUCAAGUGGUAGCCAUUUUUAUUGGGCCUAAAGCGUUCGUAGCCGGUUUGAUAAGUCUCUGGUGAAAUCCCACAGCUUAACUGUGGGAAUUGCUGGAGAUACUAUUAGACUUGAGGUCGGGAGAGGUUAGCGGUACUCCCAGGGUAGGGGUGAAAUCCUGUAAUCCUGGGAGGACCACCUGUGGCGAAGGCGGCUAACUGGAACGAACCUGACGGUGAGGGACGAAAGCCAGGGGCGCGAACCGGAUUAGAUACCCGGGUAGUCUUGGCCGUAAACGAUGCGGA